AUAAUAAACAAACACAACCCAUUGUAAUAUAAUCAUUAAAACAGUCGAACAUUAUUGCUAAACCUCCACAAAAAUCAAGUUAGAAAUAGCACAUACCCAGUCACCUUCACACUAUUUGCUUUUUCGUCACUUCCAUCCUUUCCAACAACCCAGAUAUCUCCUUCUGCAUUCUCUUCUUCAUGUUGUAAUAAUCUAUUUGAGAGUUCUCUAAUACCUUCAGCUCCUCCACCUUCUUCCUCCGCCUAUCUUCCGCCUCUUUCAAGCACAACUUCCCGAUCUUUUCGGCAUAGUCUUCGUCGAGUUUCUCUGUCUUUGCAAUGAUUAUUUGUCUCAGUCGUUCAGCCUCCCUCCGUGCCUCAUCUGCCUUGUUCUGAAACAUUCCUGCCUCUGCUUUCUUGAUUCUUACAAUGCUUUCCAAGCUCUCGAGGCCCUCUUUCUUUG
rnacentral:misc_RNA from 1 species